AACAAAAAAAUGUGUAGACUAUGAGUUGGCAAGGAAUUCAACUAUAUAUUUUGUCUCUUUGUGGAGAAAUUGGAUUUUUAAGAUGAAGUGGAGUUGGUCAGCUCAGAUGAUGUUGAAACCUGCAAAAUGAUUUUUCUUUUUAAUUGCACUAUGAAAAAAUAAAUGUAGAAUUUGUAUUUGUUGAAGUUGGAAAUAAAUUUAUGGAAUAUCAUUUCAUUAAGAGUAGUUGUAUUUGGUUAUAAUUGCAAAACGAAGAAGAUGAUAUUGCAUUAAUUGCUUGUCUUGUUAUGCUUCUCUUAGUUUGUAUAUUUCUUAUUGGGAUUGCAAUUUGAUCUUCGGCGGCUAAGCUGAUUGCGUAUAUUAGAAUUUUGAGUGUUUGAGCAAA